rnacentral:rRNA from 1 species
AGAUUGAACGCUGGCGGCAUGCUUUACACAUGCAAGUCGAACGGUAACAGGCCGCAAGGUGCUGACGAGUGGCGAACGGGUGAGUAAUGUAUCGGAACGUGCCCAGUCGUGGGGGAUAACGCAGCGAAAGCUGCGCUAAUACCGCAUACGAUCUAUGGAUGAAAGCGGGGGACCGUAAGGCCUCGCGCGAUUGGAGCGGCCGAUAUCAGAUUAGGUGGUUGGUGGGGUAAAGGCUCACCAAGCCAACGAUCUGUAGCUGGUCUGAGAGGACGAUCAGCCACACUGGGACUGAGACACGGCCCAGACCU